rnacentral:rRNA from 1 species
CGACGAAUCUUCCGCAAUGGGCGCAAGCCUGACGGAGCAAUGCCGCGUGUGGGACGAAGCGCCUUCGGCGUGUAAACCACUGUCAGAGAAUAGAACCAAUGAUCAUUCUCAAAGGAAGAGACGGCUAACCCUGUGCCAGCAGCCGCGGUAAGACAGGGGUCUCGAGCGUUAAUCGGAAUCACUGGGCUUAAAGGGAGCGUAGGCUGACCAGCAAGUGCCUUGUGAAAGCCCCCGGCUCAACCGGGGAACUGCGGGGCAUACUGCUGGUCUUGAGGCAUGUAGGGGCGGGCAGAACAGUAGGUGGAGCGGUGAAAUGCGUAGAUAUCUACUGGAAUGCCGAUGGUGAAGACGGCCCGCUGGGCAUGUCCUGACGCUCAGGCUCGAAAGCGUGGGGAGCAAACAGGAUUAGAUACCCGUGUAGUCC